GACGAACGCUGGCGGCGUGCUUAACACAUGCAAGUCGAACGGAAAGGCCCUGCUUUUGUGGGGUGCUCGAGUGGCGAACGGGUGAGUAACACGUGAGUAACCUGCCCUUGACUUUGGGAUAACUUCAGGAAACUGGGGCUAAUACCGGAUAGGAGCUCCUGCUGCAUGGUGGGGGUUGGAAAGUUUCGGCGGUUGGGGAUGGACUCGCGGCUUAUCAGCUUGUUGGUGGGGUAGUGGCUUACCAAGGCUUUGACGGGUAGCCGGCCUGAGAGGGUGACCGGCCAAAUAGGACUAGGGGUAGGGCCAGGACGCUACCGGGAGGAAGCGGUGGGGAACAUUGCAAACGGGGCGGAGCCUGAUGCAGCAACGCCGCGUGCGGGAUGACGGCCUUCGGGUUGUAAACCGCUUUCGCCUGUGACGAAGCGUGCGUGACGGUAAUGGGUAAAGAAGCACCGGCUAACUACGUG
rnacentral:rRNA from 1 species